rnacentral:rRNA from 1 species
UACAGAGGUCUCAAGCGUUGUUCGGAUUCAUUGGGCGUAAAGGGUGCGUAGGCGGUAGAGUAAGUUGGAUGUGAAAUCCCGGGGCUUAACCCCGGAACUGCAUUCAAUACUGCUUUGCUAGAGUACUGGAGAGGAGAUUGGAAUUCACGGUGUAGCAGUGAAAUGCGUAGAUAUCGUGAGGAAGACCAGUGGCGAAGGCGAAUCUCUGGACAGUUACUGACGCUGAGGCACGAAGGCCAGGGGAGCAAACGGG